rnacentral:pre_miRNA from 1 species
UUUGUACUCCCUCCAUCCCAAAAUUCUUGUCUUAAAUUUGUCUAAAUACGGAUGUAUCUAGUUACAUUUUAGUGUUAGAUACAUCCGUAUCUAAACAAAUGUAAGACAAGAAUUUUGGGACGAAGGGAAUACUAC